AAAGGUGUGGUUUAUCAUUCUCUUCUAGGUUGUGAGUUCCUGAAGAAGCUAACUAGAAAAAAGACUGCCUCAAGUUGCUUAGUUGGUUCUACAGCCUUACUCGGAGGUCACUGAGGCAAAGCGCUUUCUUCUCUAACGUGGUUUCCCAAGGCAAUCUGAGACACAGGUUCUGCAAGAGGGGUGGAAUUUAACUGAAGAAUAUUGUGGCAAGCACUGAUGAGAUGAGAAGGCACGACAGCCAUGGGGAGAUCAAUGGUAGCUGCUUAAGAUUCAGCAAGUGUCAGUGAAUGUCUGUGGGUGUGAGCUUUUCAUCAUGGAGGAAUUCAGUGAGACACCUUUGCUUCCAGCACACUUUGAUGUCAGAUGCCGUUUUGUCAGACUGCUGCCAUCUGUUGCACAUCAACAAAACACAAUGGAAUAUUGAUAUGCAAGGGGAGUUUUGGAGAACACUGCCAAGCAAAAACUUAUCAAGGCUUUCCAUAUAAAGAGGAGCCCAAAAGAGUAAGAUGAAAUAUUGCUAUAUGAUACAUUGAGGAUGACAGAGUUUUAUGGUUCAUAUCAAGAAUAAGAAAAACAUGACAGCAACUAAACAUAAAAAGCUGAUCUCAGAUGACUGGCUGCAGUUUUAAAUGAAACAUACUGAGACAUAUCAGUGCAAAAGAAUGGAUGGCAAGGCCGUUGAACUUCUAUCGUGUAUACGAAGUUGAAUUAAGUACUGUUCCUCAGUUUGAGUCCUACAAAAUGUUCUAUGUUGAUACAUUCAGAAUGUCAAACAUUUUCAAAUAAUAUUUGGGUAAAUGUAUCUCAAAAUUGUGGAGAAAGAACACUUGCAAUUUUUUAAUGUAAUAGUAUGCUUGCAAGUUGCUUCAUCUUCAAAAUGCUACGUUCUCCUUCAGUUUCUACCCAUGUUUUUCUUUUUAUUUUGUGGUA